rnacentral:rRNA from 1 species
AGUGAACGCUGGCGGUAGGCCUAACACAUGCAAGUCGAACGGCAGCACAGUAAGAGCUUGCUCUUACGGGUGGCGAGUGGCGGACGGGUGAGGAAUACAUCGGAAUCUACUUUUUCGUGGGGGAUAACGUAGGGAAACUUACGCUAAUACCGCAUACGACCUACGGGUGAAAGCAGGGGAUCUUCGGACCUUGCGCGAUUGAAUGAGCCGAUGUCGGAUUAGCUAGUUGGCGGGGUAAAGGCCCACCAAGGCGACGAUCCGUAGCUGGUCUGAGAGGAUGAUCAGACACACUGGAACUGAGACACGGUCCAGACUCCUAGGGGAGGCAGCAGUGGGGAAUAUUGGACAAUGGACGCAAGCCUGAUCCAGCCAUACCGCGUGGGUGAAGAAGGCCUUCGGGUUGUAAAGCCCUUUUGUUGGGAAAGAAAAGCAGCAGGUUAAUACCCCGCUGUUCUGACGGUACCCAAAGAAUAAGCACCGGCUAACUUCGUG